CACACUAGGAUGGUUAUGUGUCCUAUUUUACAAAGGGCAGGCUGGUAUUUCAAGAGCUUUCAGAGAGCAGUCCUCUGUUUGCAAGGGCUGUGUGGUCCAAGUCUAGUUUAAAGAUAAAGAACCAUAAGGAAGAACAGAGACCUUGAAUUUGACAUUAUUUAUUUCAUUGUUAGCACCUGACGUGCUCUGGUCCAUGGGGUCACGAAGAGUCGGACACGACUAAACAACAACAAAGCACCUGGACAGCAGACUUAGGAUGCGCAUGUGUCAGUUGGUCACAGUCUUCCCCUCUAUAGCAUUUUGCUUUUAUUUAAAUUGUAGUGAUUAUUUCUAAAUCUGCAUAUAUAAAUAUAAAUUAGCAUAUGUGAAUUUUAUGCAAAUCUUUGUCCUCAUUUUGGGCGGGAUAUUCUGCACGUGACCAAGAUAGCAUCUGCUGAUCUGGGAAGAAAAAGAGGAGGAAUGAGUAUCUAGAGAAUGUGCAGCAGAGAACAUAGUUGUAUAGCCUGAACAAUGGGGAAACCUUUGUUCAAACCAGAGACAAACUGCAAGGAAAAAUUCUGUGGGGAGCAGCUGUGCAGGAAAUCCUGCAACCAGAUCUCCCCCCUGGGUUUCCCAGCCAGUCAUUCUUAAUUUUAUUCCUGCUGUGUUCUGGCUUAAGCUCUGAAGUGGUCCUGUUCUCUGCAAGAUUAGCCUUGGGAAGGGGGUGAUUACCUUUCAGCACCAAGCCCUUCUUGUCUCUUUCAAUCAAAGGAUGUCAGAUCCCAGCCUGGAAAAGCUCAGGAAGAAGCAAGGCCUCCUGAGUGACAUCACUAGUCAGCCCACUGCAAUCCCACCCAAUGGCGAAAGCUUUUGUGCCUACCCACCCUCACGCCAGGAAAUCCAGCAAGAAAUUCCACAGGGAAGCGGAAACCUCUCAGUUCUGCUAAGCCGUUUCCUCUCCCUGCCCACCCCACCCUCAGUGCCAGCAGCCAUUUGUGCGGAAGAUCCUGGUGGACACGAGGGCAGGCUCUACCACAUUGCACGGAAUUAAAAGGAGCAUGACGAGCAUUUCCUGCUUGCCCAACCCACUGGAACAAGGAGAACCAGAUUUUAUAAACCUUUUCUGCCUAGGAACCAUGCUGCAGAUCUCAAGAGAAACACCAAAGCUCCUCAUUCUGCUAUGAUAAAAAAUGAGCAGGAAAGUAUGUUCCCACAACCCUUGACCUCAACAGUUAGUGCCAAAAUGGGGGUGGGUGAGGAGGACACUUUGUGCUACCAUCAAAGUUAUAGAAAUGAAAUUAUAUGCACUUUGCACAUGUGUGUAUUCAGGUAUGCUGAAAUGCAUAUUACAGAGAAGUCUGAAGAGUCCUGGACUAACAAUCUGUUCAACAACUUUGUCUUGAUCACAACAUCUGCAUCCUGAUUUCAUGCCGAUGACAUUGUCAAGCUGUGAAGGAACAAUUCGAUUCAGACUCACUUCCAGAAUGAAGUAAAGAAACUUGCUGCACCCCAGCUCCUGCCCACCUAGCAGUUUGAAAGCACAUCAAAGUGCAAGUAGAUAAAUAGGUACUGCUCCAGCGGGAAGGUAAUUGGCGCUUCCGUGUGCUGCUUUGGUUUGCCAGAAGUGGCUUAGUCAUGGUGGCCACAUGACCCGGAAGUUGUCUGUGGACAAACGCCGGCUCCCUUGACCUAUAGAGCGAGAUGAGAGCCGCAACCCGAGUGUCGUCUGCGACUGGACCUAAUGGUCAGGCGUACCUUUACCUUUAUUCUGCCAUACCUUAGCAACACCAUUAAUUCUGUCUGAGAGUGAUCAGUCCAGUUUCCAUACUUCUAGAUGAAAUUUCAGCAAAUUAUUGCAAUGAUGAAAAUAAUCUUAAAUCUGAAAAAUGUCACUUUCAAGUCAAUGUAUGAGGAAAUAAUCACAGGGGAAAAUAAAGGAGAUUUAAACAUUA